CUGCUCGUGCGCAAGCCGGCGGCCAUGUCCCCUUGCAGCCCCGUCUAAAUCUGAUGUAAAUUUUGCCUCAGUCCGCGUCCUACCUGGUUCAGCCCAGCCCGCCCCAAGUCCGGUGCGCGGGAGGUGGAGAGCUUGGCCUUGGGGUCAGAGGCCAAAAGGCGGCCGCUUGGGCUGUGCCCACCGCUCCACGCUGGGACACCAGCGCCCGGGGCCUCCAGCAGCCGCGGCUGGUACCAAACUCACUGAAUCAGGAACUCUGUGAGGGUCCAGCAGUCGGGAAAGGAAAAGCAUCCCUGCCAUUCGGCUCACGGGGACGAGUCUCAACCUCGUCUCUGCGCAGCAUGCGGGAUCUUAGCUCCCUGACCAGGGAUCGAACCCGCGCCCCCUGCGUUGGAAGCGCAGAGUCUUAACCACUGGACCGCCA